rnacentral:rRNA from 1 species
UAAAUAGCCCGCGCCGCUCUGGCGGCACGCCGGCUUCUUAGAGGGACUAUCGGCUCAAGCCGAUGGAAGUUUGAGGCAAUAACAGGUCUGUGAUGCCCUUAGAUGUUCUGGGCCGCACGCGCGCGACACUGACAGAGCCAGCGAGUACUCCCUUGGCCGGAAGGCCCG